rnacentral:rRNA from 1 species
AUCAACGCUGGCGGCGUGCCUUACACAUGCAAGUCGAACGAGAAAGCCCCGGCUUGCCGGGGUGAGUAAAGUGGCGUACGGGUGAGUAACACGUGGACAACCUGCCAUCGAAUGGGGAAUAGCCCUGGGAAACCGGGGAUAAUACCGCAUAACACUUUAGGGCUUCGGCCCUGGAGUUGAAACCCGCAAGGGGUUUGAUGAGGGGUCCGCGGCCGAUUAGCUAGUUGGUGAGGUAACGGCCCACCAAGGCUAUGAUCGGUAGCCGGCCUGAGAGGGCGGACGGCCACACUGGAACUGCAACACGGUCCAGACUCCUACGGGAGGCAGCAGUGGGGAAUUUUGCGCAAUGGGGGAAACCCUGACGCAGCAACGCCGCGUGGACGAUGAAGCUUCUUGGAGUGUAAAGUCCUUUCGGCAGGGAAGAAUCCCCGCAAGGGGUUGACGGUACCUGAAGAAGAAGCCCCGGCUAACUCCGU